UUGGCUAAUGUGUCUUGGCUAAGGUGUCUUAGCUAAGGUGUCUUGGCUAAUGUAUUUUGGCUAAGGUGUCUUGGCUAAUGUGUCUCGGCUAAAGUGUCUUGGCUAAGGUGUCUUGGCUAAGGUGUCUUGGCUAAGGUGUCUUGGCUAAGGUGUCUUGGCUAAUGUGUCUCGGCUAAAGUGUCUUGGCUAAGGUGUCUUGGCUAAUGUGUCUUGGCUAAUGUGUCUUGGCUAAUGUGUCUCGGCUAAGGUGUCUUGGCUAAGGUGUCUUGGCUAAGGUGUCUUGGCUAAUGUGUCUUGGCUAAGGUGUCUUGGCUAAUGUGUCUCGGCUAAGGUGUCUUGGCUAAUGUGUUUUGGCUAAGGUGUCUUGGCUAAGGUGUCUUGGCUAAGGUGUCUUGGCUAAUGUGUCUUGGCUAAGGUGUCUUGGCUAAGGUGUCUUGGCUAAUGUGUCUUGGCUAAUGUGUCUUGGCUAAUGUGUCUUGGCUAAUGUGUCUUGGCUAAGGUGUCUUGGCUAAAGUGUCUUGGCUAAGGUGUCGUGGCUAAGGUGUCUUGGCUAAGGUGUCUUGGCUAAGGUGUCUUGGCUAAUGUGUCUUGGCUAAGGUGUCUUGGCUAAGGUGUCUUGGCUAAUGUGUCUCGGCUAAGGUGUCUUGGCUAAGGUGUCUUGGCUAAUGUGUCUUGGCUAAAGUGUCUUGGCUAAGGUGUCUUGGCUAAUGUGUCUCGGCUAAUGUGUCUUGGCUAAGGUGUCUUGGCUACGGUGUCUUGGCUAAUGUGUCUUGGCUAAGGUGUCUUGGCUAAGGUGUCUUGGCUAAGGUGUCUUGGCUACGGUGUCUUGGCUAAUGUGUCUUGGCUAAGGUGUCUUAGCUAAGGUGUCUUGGCUAAUGUAUUUUGGCUAAGGUGUCUUGGCUAAUGUGUCUCGGCUAAAGUGUCUUGGCUAAGGUGUCUUGGCUAAGGUGUCUUGGCUAAUGUGUCUUGGCUAAGGUGUCUUGGCUAAGGUGUCUUGGCUAAGGUGUCUUGGCUAAGGUGUCUUGGCUAAUGUGUCUUGGCUAAUGUGUCUCGGCUAAAGUGUCUUGGCUAAGGUGUCUUGGCUAAGGUGUCUUGGCUAAAGUGUUUUGGCUAAUGUGUCUUGGCUAAUGUGUCUUGGCUAAGGUGUCUUGGCUAAGGUGUCUUGGCUAAUGUGUCUCGGCUAAGGUGUCUUGGCUAAGGUGUCUUGGCUAAUGUGUCUUGGCUAAUGUGUCUUGGCUAAUGUGUCUCGGCUAAGGUGUCUUGGCUAAGGUGUCUUGGCUAAUGUGUCUUGGCUAAGGUGUCUUGGCUAAUGUGUCUCGGAUAAGGUGUCUUGGCUAAUGUGUCUUGGCUAAGGUGUCUUGGCUAAGGUGUCUUGGCUAAGGUGUCUUGGCUAAGGUGUCUUGGCUAAUGUGUCUUGGCUAAGGUGUCUUGGCUAAGGUGUCUUGGCUAAUGUGUCUCGGCUAAGGUGUCUUGGCUAAGGUGUCUUGGCUAAGGUGUCUUGGCUAAUGUGUCUUGGCUAAUGUGUCUUGGCUAAGGUGUCUUGGCUAAGGUGUCUUGGCUAAUGUGUCUUGGCUAAGGUGUCUUGGCUAAGGUGUCUUGGCUAAGGUGUCUUGGCUUAUGUGUCUCGGCUAAGGUGUCUUGGCUAAAGUGUCUUGGCUAAUGUGUCUCGGCUAAGGUGUCUUGGCUAAUGUGUCUUGGCUAAGGUGUCUUGGCUAAGGUGUCUUGGCUAAUGUGUCUCGGCUAAGGUGUCUUGGCUAAUGUGUCUUGGCUAAAGUGUCUUGGCUAAGGUGUCUUGGCUAAGGUGUCUUGGCUAAGGUGUCUUGGCUAAGGUGUCUUGGCUAAGGUGUCUUGGCUAAUGUGUCUUGGCUAAGGUGUCUUGGCUUAGGUGUCUUGGCUAAGGUGUCUUGGCUAAUGUGUCUCGGCUAAGGUGUCUUGGCUAAUGUGUCUUGGCUAAUGUGUCUUGGCUAAGGUGUCUUGGCUAAGGUGUCUUGGCUAAGGUGUCUUGGCUAAGGUGUCUUGGCUAAGGUGUCUUGGCUAAUGUGUCUUGGCUAAUGUGUCUCGGCUAAGGUGUCUUGGCUAAUUUGUCUUGGCUAAGGUGUCUUGGCUAAUGUGUCUUGGCUAAUGUGUCUUGGCUAAUGUGUCUUGGCUAAGGUGUCUUGGCUAAGGUGUCUUGGCUAAGGUGUCUUGGCUAAUGUGUCUUGGCUAAAGUGUCUUGGCUUAGGUGUCUUGGCUAAUGUGUCUCGGCUAAGGUGUCUUGGCUAAGGUGUCUUGGCUAAGGUGUCUUGGCUAAAGUGUCUUGGCUAAGGUGUCUUGGCUAAUGUGUCUCGGCUAAAGUGUCUUGGCUAAUGUGUCUUGGCUAAUGUGUCUCGGCUAAGGUGUCUUGGCUAAUGUGUCUUGGCUAAAGGGUCUUGGCUAAGGUGUCUUGGCUAAGGUGUCUUGGCUAAGGUGUCUUGGCUAAGGUGUCUUGGCUAAGGUGUCUUGGCUAAGGUGUCUUGGCUACGGUGUCUUGGCUAAUGUGUCUUGGCUAAGGUGUCUUAGCUAAGGUGUCUUGGCUAAUGUAUUUUGGCUAAGGUGUCUUGGCUAAUGUGUCUCGGCUAAAGUGUCUUGGCUAAGGUGUCUUGGCUAAGGUGUCUUGGCUAAGGUGUCUUGGCUAAGGUGUCUUGGCUAAUGUGUCUCGGCUAAAGUGUCUUGGCUAAGGUGUCUUGGCUAAUGUGUCUUGGCUAAUGUGUCUUGGCUAAUGUGUCUCGGCUAAGGUGUCUUGGCUAAGGUGUCUUGGCUAAGGUGUCUUGGCUAAUGUGUCUUGGCUAAGGUGUCUUGGCUAAUGUGUCUCGGCUAAGGUGUCUUGGCUAAUGUGUUUUGGCUAAGGUGUCUUGGCUAAGGUGUCUUGGCUAAGGUGUCUUGGCUAAUGUGUCUUGGCUAAGGUGUCUUGGCUAAGGUGUCUUGGCUAAUGUGUCUUGGCUAAUGUGUCUUGGCUAAUGUGUCUUGGCUAAUGUGUCUUGGCUAAGGUGUCUUGGCUAAAGUGUCUUGGCUAAGGUGUCGUGGCUAAGGUGUCUUGGCUAAGGUGUCUUGGCUAAGGUGUCUUGGCUAAUGUGUCUUGGCUAAGGUGUCUUGGCUAAGGUGUCUUGGCUAAUGUGUCUCGGCUAAGGUGUCUUGGCUAAGGUGUCUUGGCUAAUGUGUCUUGGCUAAAGUGUCUUGGCUAAGGUGUCUUGGCUAAUGUGUCUCGGCUAAUGUGUCUUGGCUAAGGUGUCUUGGCUACGGUGUCUUGGCUAAUGUGUCUUGGCUAAGGUGUCUUGGCUAAGGUGUCUUGGCUAAGGUGUCUUGGCUACGGUGUCUUGGCUAAUGUGUCUUGGCUAAGGUGUCUUAGCUAAGGUGUCUUGGCUAAUGUAUUUUGGCUAAGGUGUCUUGGCUAAUGUGUCUCGGCUAAAGUGUCUUGGCUAAGGUGUCUUGGCUAAGGUGUCUUGGCUAAUGUGUCUUGGCUAAGGUGUCUUGGCUAAGGUGUCUUGGCUAAGGUGUCUUGGCUAAGGUGUCUUGGCUAAUGUGUCUUGGCUAAUGUGUCUCGGCUUAAGUGUCUUGGCUAAGGUGUCUUGGCUAAGGUGUCUUGGCUAAAGUGUUUUGGCUAAUGUGUCUUGGCUAAUGUGUCUUGGCUAAGGUGUCUUGGCUAAGGUGUCUUGGCUAAUGUGUCUUGGCUAAGGUGUCUCGGCUAAUGUGUCUUGGCUAAUGUGUCUUGGCUAAGGUGUCUUGGCUAAGGUGUCUUGGCUAAUGUGUCUUGGCUAAUGUGUCUUGGCUAAGGUGUCUUGGCUAAGGUGUCUUGGCUAAGGUGUCUUGGCUAAUGUGUCUUGGCUAAUGUGUCUUGGUUAAUGUGUCUUGGCUAAGGUGUCUUGGCUAAGGUGUCUUGGCUAAGGUGUCUUGGCUAAGGUGUCUUGGCUAAGGUGUCUUGGCUAAGGCGUCUUGGCUAAGGUGUCUUGGCUAAGGUGUCUUGGCUAAUGUGUCUUGGCUAAGGUGUCUUGGCUAAUGUGUCUUGGCUAUGGUGUCUUGGCUAAUGUGUCUCGGCUAAGGUGUCUUGGCUAAGGUGUCUUGGCUAAGGUGUCUUGGCUAAUGUGUCUUGGCUAAGGUGUCUUGGCUAAGGUGUCUUGGCUAAGGUGUCUUGGCUAAUGUGUCUCGGCUAAUGUGUCUUGGCUAAGGUGUCUUGGCUAAGGUGUCUUGGCUAAUGUGUCUUGGCUAAUGUGUCUUGGCUAAGGUGUCUUGGCUAAGGUGUCUUGGCUAAGGUGUCUUGGCUAAAGUGUCUUGACUUAGGUGUCUUGGCUAAUGUGUCUCGGC